AACGAACGCUGGCGGCGUGCCUAAUACAUGCAAGUUGAGCGCUGAAGGUUGAUACUUGUACCGACUGGCUGAGCGGCGAACGGGUGAGUAACGCGUGGGGAAGCUGCCUUUUAGCGGGGGACAACAUUGUGAAACGAAUUCUAAUACUGCAUAAAAACUUUAAACACAAUUUUCAAGUUUGAAAGAUGCAAUUUCCUCACUCAAGGAUGAUCCUGCGUUGUAUUAGCUAGUUGGGCAGGUAAAGGCUCACCAAGCGGAUGAUACAUAGCCUACCCGAGAGGGUGAAUGGCCACAUGUGGAAUUGGACACGGCUCCAAAUUCUUAGGGGAGCAGCCGUAGGGAAUCUUUGGAAAAGGAAGAAAGUCCGGCCGCGCAAAGCCGCGUUGGUGAAGGAAGUUUUCGGAGUGUAAAACUCUGUUGGUAGAGAAGGAAGUUGGUGAGAGUGGAAAGCUCAUCAAGUGACGGUAACUACCCAGAAAGGGACGGCUAACUACGUG
rnacentral:rRNA from 1 species